rnacentral:rRNA from 1 species
CCGACGGUGAGGGGUGAAGGCUGGGGGCGCAAACCGGAUUAGAUACCCGGGUAGUCCCAGCAGUAGACGAUGCCAGCUAUGUGUUGCUGGAACCAUGGGUUCCAGCAGUGCCGAAGGGAAGCCGUGAAGCUGGCCACCUGGGAAGUACGGUCGCAAGGCUGAAACUUAAAGGAAUUGGCGGGGGAGUACCACAACCGGUGGAGCCUGCGGUUUAAUUGGAUACAACGCCGGGAAUCUUACCGGAGGGGACAGCAGUAUGAAGGCCAGGCUAAAGACCUUGCCAGAUCAGCUGAGAGGAGGUGCAUGGCCGUCGCCAGUUCGUACCGUGAGGCAUCCUGUUUAGUCAGGCAACGAUCGAGACCCGCAGUCUUAUUUGCCAGCAUGCCCUUUGGGGUGUAUGGGUACGAUAAGACGACCGCCAGCGCUAAGCUGGAGGAAGGAGCGGGCUACGGUAGGUCAGCAUGCCCCGAAUCCUCCGGGAUACACACGGGCUACAAUGGUCAGGACAAAAGGUACCGACCUCGAAAGAGUGAGGUAAUCCACAAACCUGAUC